rnacentral:rRNA from 1 species
UGCCAGCCGCCGCGGUAAUACGGAGGGUGCGAGCGUUAAUCGGAAUUACUGGGCGUAAAGCGCGCGUAGGUGGCUAUGUCAGUCGGAUGUGAAAGCCCUGGGCUUAACCUGGGAAUUGCAUUCGAUACUGCAUGGCUAGAGUAUGGUAGAGGGUAGUGGAAUUCCUGGUGUAGCGGUGAAAUGCGUAGAUAUCAGGAGGAACAUCAGUGGCGAAGGCGGCUCCCUGGCCAAAGACUGACGCUCAUGUGCGAAAGUGUGGGUAGCGAACAGGAUUAGAUA